rnacentral:rRNA from 1 species
UACGUAGGCAGCGAGCGUUGUUCGGAGUUACUGGGCGUAAAGGGUGUGUAGGCGGUUCUUUAAGUUUGGUGUGAAAUCUCCCGGCUCAACCGGGAGGGUGCGCCGAAUACUGAGGGACUUGGAGUGCGGGAGAGGCGAGUGGAAUUCCUGGUGUAGCGGUGAAAUGCGCAGAUAUCAGGAGGAACACCGAUUGCGAAGGCAGCUCGCUGGAACGUAACUGACGCUGAGACGCGAAAGCGUGGGGAGCAAACAGG